CCAAACCGACAAUACUACCACUGUAGGCAC
rnacentral:misc_RNA from 1 species